rnacentral:rRNA from 1 species
GCAGAGCAUCCUACGGGAGGCAGCAGUGGGGAAUAUUGCACAAUGGGCGCAAGCCUGAUGCAGCCAUGCCGCGUGUAUGAAGAAGGCCUUCGGGUUGUAAAGUACUUUCAGCAGUGAGGAAGGUGGAUAUGUUAAUAGCAUAUUCAUUUGACGUUAGCUGCAGAAGAAGCACCGGCUAACUCCGUGCCAGCAGCCGCGGUAAUACGGAGGGUGCGAGCGUUAAUCGGAAUUACUGGGCGUAAAGCGCAUGCAGGUGGUUUGUUAAGUCAGAUGUGAAAGCCCGGGGCUCAACCUCGGAAUUGCAUUUGAAAACUGGCAAACUAGAGUACUGUAGAGGGGGUAGAAUUUCAGGUGUAGCGGUGAAAUGCGUAGAGAUCUGAAGGAAUACCGGUGGCGAAGGCGGCCCCCUGGACAGAUACUGACACUCAGAUGCGAAAGCGUGGGGAGCAAACAGGAUUAGAUACCCUGGUAG